GGACUCGGUUUAUCGGUACCAAGGUCGUCGACGUGGAACCGAUAAACCGAGUUCUCAAGUCCCUCAGGUCCGAGAUUAAUAACCCAAUCCAACCGAUUGCCUAU